rnacentral:rRNA from 1 species
AUUGAACGCUUGCGGCAGGCCUAACACAUGCACGUCGAGCGGAGCGGGGGACGGGUGAGUCAUGCCUAUGAAUCUGCCUGGUCGUGGGGGAUGACGGCCGGAAACGGGCGCUAAUACCGCAUACUAUCGGAUGACCCUAGGUCGGAUUAGCUAGUUGGGGGGGUAAAGGCCUACCAAGGCGACGAUCCGUAACUGGUCGGAGAGGAUGAUCAGUCACAAGGGAACUGGGACACGGUGAAGACUCCUACGGGAGGCACCAGUGGGGAAUAGUAGAAGAUGGAGGAAAGGCUGAUCCAGCCAUGCCGCCGGUGCGAAGAAGGUCUUCGGAUUGGAAAGCUAUUUGAGUUGGUAGGCGUUAACCGCAGAAUAAGCACCGGCUAACUUCGUGCCAGCAGCCGCGGUAAUAC